rnacentral:rRNA from 1 species
UACGAAGGGGACUAGCGUUGUCCGGAUUUAUUGGGCGUAAAGAGCGUGUAGGCGGCCAGGUAGGUCUGGUGUGAAAACUCGAGGCUUAACCUCGAGAUGUCAUCGGAAACCAUCUGGCUAGAGUCCGGAAGAGGAGAGUGGAAUUCCUGGUGUAGCGGUGAAAUGCGCAGAUAUCAGGAAGAACACCAAUGGCGAAAGCAGCUCUCUGGGACGGUACUGACGCUGAGACGCGAAAGCGUGGGGAGCGAACAGG